rnacentral:lncRNA from 1 species
UUUGCGUGAGGCCCAUUGUUGUGCCAUAAACAUGCGAAAAGGUAACAUUUAAUUUAGGUUGCGCAUCUGGAGCUCGAGAGGAGCCCUCAUCAGGCUGUAUUUAAAUUUCUGCUUUCCACCCCAGUGCCUCUAAAAUUGUUAAACUGUGUCGUCCUUGCGGCUUUAUUAAACCUCGCAAAAUCCAGCCAAGCUUAACGAACGCAGGAGCGGAGUUUCCGCCGAGUCCGGUGGAUUUGCCAGGCAGGAUCCUGCUCCCUCCCAGCCACUCCAGGAAGCCCCCGGCCCUUUGUGCAGGCACCAAGCGCCCACCAAUUGUGUCUCUAAUCAACUGCUCUGAGCAGCCCUGCUAAGACUCCAGAGGCCAAGAAUUACAAAGCCCGCCUACCUGCUUGAAGCAGAAGAUAGAGGGAGAACAGACUCUAAUUAAUAUUUCAAUAAAUUAUCCUCCCGUAUUGACUCAGA